rnacentral:tRNA from 1 species
AGUAGAAUGACUGAGAAUUUAGGUGAAAGAUUGUAAAUCUUUUAAGGGGUUAUAUAAAACUCUUCUACUA